CCUACGGGAGGCAGCAGUGGGGAAUAUUGCACAAUGGGGGAAACCCUGAUGCAGCGACGCCGCGUGAGCGAUGAAGUAUUUCGGUAUGUAAAGCUCUAUCAGCAGGGAAGAAAAUGACGGUACCUGACUAAGAAGCCCCGGCUAACUACGUGCCAGCAGCCGCGGUAAUACGUAGGGGGCAAGCGUUAUCCGGAUUUACUGGGUGGAAAGGGAGCGUAGACGGUCAUGCAAGCCAGAUGUGAAAGCCCGGGGCUCAACCCCGGGACUGCAUUUGGAACUGUAAGGCUAGAGUGUCGGAGAGGCAGGCGGAAUUCCUAGUGUAGCGGUGAAAUGCGUAGAUAUUAGGAGGAACACCAGUGGCGAAGGCGGCCUGCUGGACGGUGACUGACGUUGAGGCUCGAAAGCGUGGGGAGCAAACAGGAUUAGAUACCCCAGUAGUC
rnacentral:rRNA from 1 species